GGUGGGGUAACGGCUCACCUAGGCGACGAUCCCUAGCUGGUCUGAGAGGAUGACCAGCCACACUGGAACUGAGACACGGUCCAGACUCCUACGGGAGGCAGCAGUGGGGAAUAUUGCACAAUGGGCGCAAGCCUGAUGCAGCCAUGCCGCGUGUAUGAAGAAGGCCUUCGGGUUGUAAAGUACUUUCAGCGGGGAGGAAGGGAGUAAAGUUAAUACCUUUGCUCAUUGACGUUACCCGCAGAAGAAGCACCGGCUAACUCCGUGCCAGCAGCCGCGGUAAUACGGAGGGUGCAAGCGUUAAUCGGAAUUACUGGGCGUAAAGCGCACGCAGGCGGUUUGUUAAGUCAGAUGUGAAAUCCCCGGGCUCAACCUGGGAACUGCAUCUGAUACUGGCAAGCUUGAGUCUCGUAGAGGGGGGUAGAAUUCCAGGUGUAGCGGUGAAAUGCGUAGAGAUCUGGAGGAAUACCCGGUGGCGAAGGCGGCCCCCUGACGAAGACUACGCUCAGUCAAAGCG
rnacentral:rRNA from 1 species